UACAGAGGUCCCAAGCGUUGUUCGGAUUCAUUGGGCGUAAAGGGUGCGUAGGCGGCGCGGUAAGUCGGGUGUGAAAUCUCGGAGCUUAACUCCGAAACUGCAUCCGAUACUACCGUGCUUGAGGACUGGAGAGGAGACUGGAAUUUACGGUGUAGCGGUGAAAUGCGUAGAUAUCAGGAGGAACACCUGUGGCGAAAGCGGCGCACUGGACCACAACUGACGCUGAGGCGCGAAAGCUAGGGGAGCAAACAGG
rnacentral:rRNA from 1 species